UUUAAAUGCAACCAUAAGUUUAUGUAUCCAACUUGAACAGUUUAUCUUAUUUGAUUUUUUUAAUUAGUAUUUUUAUUGUUAUGAGAUGAUAAAACAUGAAUAAUACUUUAUACGUGACUUAUGUUUUUUAAUUUUUUUAAAAAAAAAUUAAAUAAGACGGACGGUCAAAGUUACGCAUGGAAUUUUCAUGAUAGCUACAAUUAAA
rfam:Oryza glaberrima chromosome 6 Oglab06_unplaced226_1, whole genome shotgun sequence.